AGAUUCCAUUCUGCAAGCCUGAGGCCAGGGAGUUCUCCCUCAGAGCAGGAGACAGCAGGUUAUUUACACUGUAUUUGUGACCAGGGGUCACGGAGAGGGGCAAGGAGCUGAAUUCCAAGAAUGGAACAGAAUCUAACUCUCUCUGAAGGAAAUUCAGGGUUUGGAAAACUCCCAAAGAGCAAUAAUUCAACUGAACUAACCUGAUGAACUGUUUUUAAAUGAGUUUGGAGAAACAUAGUCAAACAUUGAACAGCUUCCUAGAACUGAAGCAACCGGGCAAAGGUCAUAGGCAUUCUUGGAGAGCAGAGCAGCUAGUUGGGGAGCAGGGAGAGGAGGGGAAAAUCUCCACUCCCGUCUUGGGUCUGCCACUGUGUUAUUGUGUGACUUUGGACCAGAUGUACUGCUUCUCUGUGCCUCAACGUCCUCACCUGCAAAUAGGGCUAACUCUGCAUGCCAUAUCGAC
rnacentral:lncRNA from 1 species